CGAACGCUGGCGGCGUGCUUAACACAUGCAAGUCGAACGGUGAAGCCCUUCGGGGUGGAUCAGUGGCGAACGGGUGAGUAACACGUGGGCAAUCUGCCCUGCACUCUGGGACAAGCCCUGGAAACGGGGUCUAAUACCGGAUAUGACCUGAGGAUGCAUGUUCUCGGGUGGAAAGCUCCGGCGGUGCAGGAUGAACCCGCGGCCUAUCAGCUUGUUGGUGGGGUGAUGGCCUACCAAGGCGACGACGGGUAGCCGGCCGAGAGGGCGACCGGCCACACUGGGACUGAGACACGGCCCAGACUCCUACGGGAGGCAGCAGUGGGGAAUAUUGCACAAUGGGCGCAAGCCUGAUGCAGCGACGCCGCGUGAGGGAUGACGGCCUUCGGGUUGUAAACCUCUUUCAGCAGGGAAGAAGCGCAAGUGACGGUACCUGCAG
rnacentral:rRNA from 1 species